rnacentral:rRNA from 1 species
UACGUAGGGGGCAAGCGUUGUCCGGAUUUAUUGGGCGUAAAGAGCGUGUAGGCGGCCAGGUAGGUCUGCUGUGAAAACUCGAGGCUCAACCUCGAGACGUCGGCGGAAACCAUCUGGCUAGAGUCCGGAAGAGGAGAGUGGAAUUCCUGGUGUAGCGGUGAAAUGCGCAGAUAUCAGGAAGAACACCCGUGGCGAAGGCGGCUCUCUGGGACGGUACUGACGCUGAGACGCGAAAGCGUGGGUAGCAAACGGG